UGGUCUUCAAGAUAAGCCAUGCACGUCUAGUACAAACUAAAUGAUGGUGAAACUGCAAAUGGCUCAUUACAACGGUUAUGAUGUACCCGGGAGUUCCGAUGGAUAUUUCCAGUAACACUAGAACUAAUACAUGUCCCUGCGUUUAUUAGUUUCGCACAGUCCGUCGCUGAGUCAUGGUAAACAGUUGAUCGACUCGACGUCCCGGAACAGUUUCCGCCCCAUCAGCUUCGAUGGUUGGGUAUUGGCCUACCAUUGCAACAACGGGUAACGAGGAAUUAGGGUUUGAUUUCGGAGAGGGAGCCUGAGAAACGGCUACCACAUCUACGGAUGGCAGCAGGCGCGCAAAUUACCCAAUGCAGACACUGUGAGGUAGUGACGAGAAAUAAUAAAGCGGGACUUCUGUUUCGCUAUUAUAAUGAGGAAUAACCAAAGGUCAUUCCGAUUAGCAACUGAUGGGAAAGUCUGGUGCCAGCAGCCGCGGUAAUACCAGCGUCAGUAGC
rnacentral:rRNA from 1 species